rnacentral:rRNA from 1 species
UGGUGGAGUGAUUUGUCUGGUUGAUUCCGUUAACGAACGAGACCUUAACCUAUUAAAUAGUUCUAUCUAUGGAGUCCGCUUGCGGACUUUGAUUAAAUAGAUAGUCAUAACUUCUUAGAGGGACUCUUAGCAUCUCUAGCUAAUGGGAAGUUUGAGGCAAAAACA